AUUCCAGCUCCAAUAGCGUAUAUUAAAGUUGUUGCGGUUAAAAAGCUCGUAGUUGGAUUUCUGUCGAGGACAGCCGGUCCGCAUUUUGUGCUGGUAUCUGUAUGACCUUGGCAUCCUCUUGGGGAACGUUGCUGCGCUUCACUGCGUGGCACGGUAUUCAAGACUUUUACUUUGAGGAAAUUAGAGUGUUCACGGCAGGCCAUCGCCUUGAAUAUAUUAGCAUGGAAUAAUAAUAUAGGACCUUGGUUCUAUUUUGUUGGUUUCUAGAGCUAAGGUAAUGAUUAAUAGGGAUAGUUGGGGGCAUUCGUAUUAUCACGUCAGAGGUGGAAUUCUUAGAUUGUGGUACGACGAACUACUGCGAAAGCAUUUGCCAAGGAUGUUUUCAUCA
rnacentral:rRNA from 1 species